CAUGGUUCUGCAGGCUGUACAGGAAGCAUAGCAGCUUCUGGGGAGGCCUCAGGAAGCUUAUGAUCAUGGCAGGAGGCAAAGGGAAAGCAGGCAUGUCUAGGUGGCUGGAGCAGGAGGAAGAGAGAGAGGUGGGGGGAAGUGCUACACACGUUUAAACAACUAGAUCUUGUGAGAACAACCCCAGGGGACUGGUACUAACCCAUUCAUGAGAAACCACCCCAAUAUUCCAGUCACCUCCCACCAGGCCCCAC
rnacentral:lncRNA from 1 species